rnacentral:lncRNA from 1 species
GAGGAAUGCUAUGUCCUUUCCAGGCUGGUCUUCACUCAUCUGCUGUACCAAUUUCUCCUUUGGGAAUGCCCAGUGACUUUACCCUGCAGACUCUGGGCCCAUCUGAAAGAGGACGAGGUGAAUGCCAGCUGGGUUGGUUGGCUGAAUGAGUGGGUUGCAUGGAUGGAUAAUUGUUCACAUGCCUCAACACUUUCAGUGACCAGUCAACUUGUGAACGUUCAUUCUAGCAGUGGUCAUUCUGCUCCUCCCCUUGAAGCAGAAUGGGAGAGUGUGGAGGAGGGCAGGAGCAGAAGCAAUCUGGAAAUAUGCUUCCAAACCAGUAAAGAUAAAUAAAGAUUCAGACAUCUCAGCAAAACUGGAAGCCAAGAAAUCAAAAGAAACCUUCGGACAAUUGGAAAAAGUUUGAUCCCUGGAAGAAGCAAGCUCAUGUGUGUGCCCCAGUAGGAGUGGGGGAGAGACCAAAGGGCUCUGACCCUGUGGCCCCCGCAUCACAGGUGUUCCGAGCAUCUGUGGACAAAGCUGAAGCUGGAAGGAAGGAGAACUUACCCAUCAAAGCUCUUCCCAUUGCUGUCAUUUAUUAAAGAGAGGCAGU